rnacentral:rRNA from 1 species
AUUGAACGCUGGCGGCAGGCCUAACACAUGCAAGUCGAGCGAGCGGCGGACGGGUGAGUAAUGUAUGGUGACUUCCCUAUAGAGGGGGAUAAACACUGGAAACGGUAGCUAAUACCGCAUAUUGUCGGACAAGCCAUAGGGGAUUACCUAGUAGGUGAGGUAAUGGCUCACCUAGGCUACGAUCCAUAGCUGGUCUGAGAGGAUGAUCAGCCAAACUGGGACUGAGACACGGCCCAGACUCCUACGGAGGCAGCAGUGGGGAAUAUUGGACAAUGGGCGAAAGUCUGACCGAGCCAUGCAGCGUGUAUGAAGAAGGCUCUCGGGUCGUAAAUCACUGUUAGUAGCGAGGCGGUAACUACAGAAGAAGCCACGGCUAACUCCGUGCCAGCAGCCGCGGUAAUAC